AAAGUCUCUCUAGCAAGUCAGUCCACUGCCGGCCAUCUUUGGAACUCUCUCGGGAGGCUAUUUCCAGUCAUGCCAGUGCAGCUCCAAUCUACUUGAUUGGGGGAACACCGAAAUCUCAAAAACGCUGUGGAUUAUGCAACACUGUAUUUCUUCAGUUCCUGUCCCCCCACCUCUCUUAUAAAUACUGAUCAGCUUGAAAUGACACCACACCAAAUGAAGUCCUGGAGUAUAUUUACAUGCAAUAGGUUUAAAGAACCUAUGAAAUUGUUUUGUCUGAAUUUGUCUUCCUCUCAUUUCUUCCAAUAUUUCAUACUUCUCAAUGUAUCUAGAAUAUCACAAAUAUCUGAAGAACUGUAAAUUUGAUGAAAAUGGGUAUUAAGUAAACCAGAAUGAAUAAUAAAAAAAAGGGAGUUUACAUGUGAACUAUACAAAUCUCAGAAUAAAGACAGUAUGAAAAAAAAUCUGAUGACUUUAAGAUUGGGCAAUUCCAAAGUUAAUCCCAUAAAUAAUAUUUUUUUUUUCUUCACACCAACAAAACAGCUUAAAAUGCUGAGACUAGUGAAACACUGGAACUAAAUUUACUUCUUUUUCUUUAGAAAAUGUAAAAAUUUUCACAGUUGUACUGUAUUAUGAAGAAAUUUCUCACUCCCACAGGUCACCAGCAGCUGCAGAAAUCUUUACAAUCAAGAGCUAAAAUUUGAAUGCAGUCUAACAUAUGAGAAUCUACUUCUGAUGCUUCUGAUGUAAUAUUUUAUCAUGGGUAGGACUGCUAAAAUGAUUCUUGACAUUAAUAAUCAUCAUUACAAAUUACGGUAAUUGUCACUACAACAAUAAAUGCAGUGGGAUCCAAAAGUCUGAGAAUACAAUGAAAAACAGGGAUUCAAAAGCAAAUUUUAACCUGAAAAUAACAAAGUAUUUGAAAAAUGUAAAACUAAAAACUGGUAUGAUGAAAAAUGAAUAAGGCAUACUGUAUUUACAAUUGUACACAAUUUUUAGGUCUCCUUUGUAUAAAAGGCCAGAUUUUCUUGCUUCCAUUGAAGCACAAAAUAUGCUAUUCGGAACAUUUUCAAAUCAUGCUGGAUAACAUGGAUAAUCAAGUUUUGCACAAACUUAUGUAGUCCAUGACAGCUUGAGUAAAUGCUGUUAUUAAAGCAGUUCUAAAGAAAUUCUAAAAGUCAUGCAAUGUUUUAAUUCACAUUUCACACACAUUGUUGUGCAGAUAAAAUAAUUCAUAAUGACAAAAAUAGAAAUUUUCACGAGUUGACUCAGAUUUUGUACCCCACCAUGUCUUAGUAUUAUAGAACACAUUUUAAUCACUGGAAAGAGGAACCAGCUAUGGGAAGAAGGAAACUGGAGUGGAUGAGAGAGGCUGGAAAAGGAGUUGGAAAUUGUGAGAUAUGUAUCUGUUUAUUCCCUUACAUCCACAAACAUCAAGCUCUUCAAAGCACCUCAGGGCCUAUGAGUCUGAAUCUGGUUAAAAUGAAACUUCACUAUCACCUAGUUUUAUGGGCAGUGUCUGUUUGCAGUAUGCAAAUUAUUCCCAUGUUAUGCAAGUUCUGUGAGUUGUUUUUAUCAUUAUUAUAUAUAUUAUCAAUGACAUCUGUCUGUACAUGUUCCAUGCUAGAAAGAGUAAUGCGCUCUAUUCACAGUCCAUACUGGACAGCCUGGCUGUGUUCAAAAUAGCAAAAUACUGUGCCUUUAUGGCAGUAUGCAGUGUUACUGUGCACAUUUCUGUCAUCUGCCUCAUCCAAGAUGACGAUGAGUCUGCAUACAGAAGGGAGGUUGAACGGCUGGCUCACUGAUGCAGUCAAAACAACCUGGAGCUGAACAUGCUCAAAACAGUGGAGAUGAUUGUGGACUUCAGGAGGAACACCCCAACAAUGACCCCGUUCACCAUUCUAAACAGCACUGUGGCAGCAGUGGAGUCAUUCAGGUUCCUGGGCACUACCAUCUCACAGGACCUGAAGUGGGAGACACACAUUGACUCCAUUGUGAAAAAGGCCCAGCAGAGGUUGUACUUCCUUUGCCAGUUAAGGAUGUUUAACCUGCCAUAGGUACUGCUGUUACAGUUUUACUCAGAAGUCAUUGAGUAUGUCCUCUGCACUUCAGUAACUGUCUGGUUUGGUGCAGCUACGAAAUCAGAUAUCAGAAGACUACAAAGGACAGUUCGGACUGCUGAGAGGAUUAUUGGUUGCCCCCUGCCCCCCCUUCAAGAACUAUACACUUCCAGAGUGAGGAAAAGGGCUGGAAAAAUCACUCUGGACCCCACUCACCCUGCCUUUUUGAACUGUUGCCUUAGGCUAUCCAUCUCAUGAACAGUUAAAACUGCCCCAUUGAGCAAUAAUUAUGUACGAUACACAGCUUAGUCUAUUUAUAUUUAUCCAACAUAUCCUACCUCUUCUGCCAUACAAUCCCUUGCACUGUAUAUAACAGAUUUGUAUUUGUACAUACGUAUCUACGUAUCUAUCUUUCUAUCUACCUAUCUAUCUAUCUAUCUAUCUAUCUAUCUAUCUAUC